GACGAGUCUCACGAACGUUAUUCGGAAUUACUGGGCGUAAAGGGCUCGUAGGUGGCCAACUAAGUCAGACGUGAAAUCCCUCGGCUUAACCGGGGAACUGCGUCUGAUACUGGAUGGCUUGAGGUUGGGAGAGGGAUGCGGAAUUCCAGGUGUAGCGGUGAAAUGCGUAGAUAUCUGGAGGAACACCGGUGGCGAAGGCGGCAUCCUGGACCAAUUCUGACACUGAGGAGCGAAAGCCAGGGGAGCAAACGGG
rnacentral:rRNA from 1 species